GACGAACGCUGGCGGCGUGCUUAACACAUGCAAGUCGAACGGAAAGGCCCUGCUUUUGUGGGGUACUCGAGUGGCGAACGGGUGAGUAACACGUGAGUAACCUGCCCUUGACUUUGGGAUAACUUCAGGAAACUGGGGCUAAUACCGGAUAGGAGCUCCUGCUGCAUGGUGGGGGUUGGAAAGUUUCGGCGGUUGGGGAUGGACUCGCGGCUUAUCAGCUUGUUGGUGGGGUAGUGGCUUACCAAGGCUUUGACGGGUAGCCGGCCUGAGAGGGUGACCGGCCACAUGGGGACUGAGAGACGGCCCAGACUCGUACGGGAGGCAGCAGUGGGGAAUAUUGCACAAUGGGCGGAGACCUGAUGCAGCAACGCCGCGUGCGGGAUGACGGCCUUCGGGUUGUAAACCGCUUUCGCCUGUGACGAAGCGUGAGUGACGGUAAUGGGUAAAGAAGCACCGGCUAACUACGUG
rnacentral:rRNA from 1 species